rnacentral:rRNA from 1 species
AAUAGAUACCCUGGUAGUCCACGCCGUAAACGUUGGGCGCUAGAUGUGGGGACCAUUCCACGGUUUCCGUGUCGCAGCUAACGCAUUAAGCGCCCCGCCUGGGGAGUACGGCCGCAAGGCUAAAACUCAAAGGAAUUGACGGGGGCCCGCACAAGCGGCGGAGCAUGCGGAUUAAUUCGAUGCAACGCGAAGAACCUUACCAAGGCUUGACAUAUACGAGAACGCUGCAGAAAUGCAGAACUCUUUGGACACUCGUAUACAGGUGGUGCAUGGUUGUCGUCAGCUCGUGUCGUGAGAUGUUGGGUUAAGUCCCGCAACGAGCGCAACCCUCGUUCUAUGUUGCCAGCACGUAAUGGUGGGAACUCAUAGGAGACUGCCGGGGUCAACUCGGAGGAAGGUGGGGAUGACGUCAAAUCAUCAUGCCCCUUAUGUCUUGGGCUUCACGCAUGCUACAAUGGCCGGUACAAAGGGCUGCAAUACCGCAAGGUGGAGCGAAUCCCGAAAAAGCCGGUCUCAGUUCGGA